UACGAAGGGGGCUAGCGUUGCUCGGAAUUACUGGGCGUAAAGCGCACGUAGGCGGCUCUUUAAGUCGGAGGUGAAAUCCUGGAGCUCAACUCCAGAACUGCCUUCGAUACUGAAGAGCUCGAGUCCGGGAGAGGUGAGUGGAACUGCGAGUGUAGAGGUGAAAUUCGUAGAUAUUGGGAAGAACACCGGUGGCGAAGGCGGCAACCUGGUCCUUGACUGACGCUGAGGCGCGAAAGCGUGGGGAGCAAACAGG
rnacentral:rRNA from 1 species